AUGGUCGGUCCUGAGGCGAGGCGGAUGCGGCCUACGCCUCAGGCCAAAAGCUGAAGGGGGCCUCGUUUCCUUGGCAUUUUUUUUUUCAAUUAAAUAAAGAAAGUAAAUUGAAUGAAGAAAUCAUUUUCCUCUCCAGCUCAUCUAUGGUUGCUGGGAAGUUGAAGAAUAUUCAGGAAAUCAUUCCUUGUUGGAAACAAAGUCCACUGCCAUUGAAGGAUGGUUCUAGAAUUGAUGCAACCACCUCCACCGUCAUAGUAGAAUUGUAGAACCAUCAGCCACCGACCUUGCAUUUCUAUCUAUGUGUGUGUUGCUGUAUUUUUUUUAUUUAAGUAGAAAGUGUGUGAAGAACGUGUGUGGAGAGAAGAAUGAGUGGAGAGCAGGACAUCAGGAAAGAAAGUGAGGAGAGACGGAGACUGACUAUGGAAAAUAUAGUGAGAGAAACGAAAAACAAGGAAAAAUUAGUGGAAGAAUUUUUGGUGUGUGCCUGAGAG
rnacentral:lncRNA from 1 species